UCUGAUAUUACAUUCUGAUAUAUCUAGUAUAUGCAUAUGCACGUGUGCAAGUGUGUAUCUUAAAUAGAUAGGAUAUAAAUUAUAAAUAAGACCAGACUCUUGAAUUCUUGAUGUAAAUUAUAGCUCGUGUUUAAAGUGGGCUUAAAAACUAAAAGGAUCGAUGUGGAGGAUCUGGUUCAUAAAUCCUCUCGAUUGUUAUUUGGAUUCUUUCCCAAUCUCUCUCUGAAUCUCCUUUUCGCUUUUUUCCCCCGCCUUCCCCUUAACUCUUUAGCUUCUCUAUUUCUAAUACAUCAAGAAAUAUCUCUCUAUCCGAGAUUCGAAUCGUAUCGAGAAAUAUCUAUGACAUAUGAACGCCGCACGCAGCAUCAGCAUCAGCAUCAGCAUCAGCAGCAGCAACAACUGAGGUUGACUCGUCUCAGCGAAGGUUUUCACCCCACUUUCGGCCAGAUAUGAUCCCCACCUGGGCUCUGGUUGCGUACUCACCCCACCCUCAGGUUCUCCAACAACACCUGUCGUUACGACGGCGAACGACUGGCUUUCCGCCAGUCUGACGUAUAUACAGUUGUCGCAGGUUCUCUCGAGAUUGUUGUUGCGUGCAGUGAGUCCUGCCGUCCGCCCGUUCGACCGUCGUUCUCUUUUUUCCAGCGCGACGAUUUAUUCGCUGUUGUUUACAUACCGCACACCGAGAUCGAGCUUGUCAUCCGCGCGAGUUUGCCUCGCGGUUUGUUUUCCUUUGCCAUCGCGCGUGCGAGACGAAGCUGUGUCAGACGUCAAUCGCGAGAUCACAUAAGAUUUCCGAAUCGCAUGGGAACGUCCCGUGUGAGUGACAGCGAGGCAAGACAACGGUUAUUUUCUUCCACACAUCGUACAACAAAGAAUAAUAAGGAAACGAUAAUCUAUUAGUGGGAUUUGUCAUAUACGAGGAUCGGCGUGUGAAGAAUAUUAAUUGCUCCGACGAUUAUAUGCAAUGAUUCGACGAAGGAAGAUGAUUGAUUUACAAAACAAUUCUCGGAGACGAAUAGAAACAUUGGAUUAGCAUGUCAAUGAGACGAAAUUCGACUCGCUUUUGCAAAAGAAAAGCGAUAAUCGAGGAAAUUUGAGGAAAAACACCGACCAAGAAUCGUUCGUGAAGAAAUCUCUUCGAAGAGAGGUUUUAAAGAAAAAAAUCAUUUUUUUCAAGACCUGUGUCACAAAGUAUAUCUCAUAGAAAAAGGUUUUUUUUAUCUGAAAAAAAAAAACUUCCAAUCAAAGUGAUUCCUUAAGGAAAGGAUUGUUAAAACGAAAGAAACCUAUGAUGAAAAACAUUCCUUCAGAGAUUCUAUUUGUUUUUUUAACGAGAAGUUUUCUAAAAGAUACUUGUCUGAAUGUGAAUAUCGAUUUUUAAAUGAAACAUAUACUUGAAUAAAAGUACUAUUAGUGAAAGAUAUAAGAUAAGAUUAAUGAAGAGAUAGCUGUUUAUGAGAAUAAGAUUUUGAAAAACUUUUCUGGAGACAUUCACGAACUUCGAGGACACUUAAAAGAAAACGAUUAGUGAAUGAUAUUUACAUAAAAAAAUAAAGACACACUGCUUCACUCUCUCUCUUUCGCGAAUAACAAUUAAUUUUUCUUGUUUGAUUCUUUUAAAGAGACGUUUUUAAGAAAAGAAUCACGGAAGAGCAAUCAUUCUUACAGCUUUACUUUUUUCUCUUCUUUUUUUCGUGAUCGACCGUUUCUUAUUUUCUUAUUUUCGACGGCGGUCGGUUUUUCAUUUUUCGUGGUCUCGAUAGAGAUCGAUAUCGUCACAUAUAGUCGAUAAACGAGAAUGAUAUUCAUGGUAGUGAUCAUGGAUGCGUCGCGGAACAUCGCGACGCUGGGUCGGCGAAUUAAGCGUCGCGACUUCGGUUUUACGUAAUAUCAGUCUGCUACUAUUGCUACUGCUGCUGUUACCAACAUCGUCGGGUGGGAUUCGUCAAGGUCACGGGGCCGCGGAAAACGCGCUGCACACCCGUAACAAGACGCCAUCACCGCCGCAGCCAAAGUCGUUGUUGGUUCUAUUAAUCCAGUGAAAAGCAAAGCGUUCCACCAAUCAAGUUGAACGAGUUCAAAAGCUUUUAAAGAGAAUAAGAAAAGUAAAAUGGUCCAAGUGAUUCAGUAAGUCGAUUAAUUUGACUGGAUUUGAAUGAAUCGAGGAAAUCGAGGUGCAAAAAUAGGAAAA
rnacentral:lncRNA from 1 species